AGACCUGAAAGCCAGCAAUAUAUUGCUUGACAAAAAUAUGAACCCCAAGAUAUCCGACUUUGGUAUGGCAGAAGUGUUUGCCACAACUGAAUCUGAAGCAACUACGAAUAGAGUUGUGGGUACACGUGGUUAUAUGGCUCCUGAAUACGUUAUUAGGGGGCAUCUUCUCUGAGAAAUCUGAUGUAUUCAGUUUCGGAGUGUUGGUUUUAGAGAUCAUAAGUGGUAGGAGGUGCAACAACACUAUCUUUUGUGAUGGCAGCCCUCUCAACCUUGUUGGAUAUGCAUGGCAGUUGUGGCAGGAAGGUUCAGCCAUGGAACUAAUGAAUUCAACACUACAUGAUUCAUGUUGUGAAGAGCAGGUCCUGAGAUGCAUUAACUUGGCUCUGCUUUGUGUUGAACACAAUCCAAUAGACAGACCUAGCAUGUCAGUAGUUGUUUCUAUGUUAACAAUAACAAGUGAAGGUGUAAAAUUACCAGUGCCGAAACAGCCAGCAUUUUGCAUUGAAAGAAGGGUUGUUGGGGACAAUGCGAGUGGCAUAAACAAGGCAGAGGAUACAAUUAAUAACUUAACUUUAUCAGUGAUGGAUCCACGAUAGAGGACACUUGGAAACAUCUCACAGUCGCAUGAAUUUAGGAGAUAUUGUUCCUAUUCUGUGGCCUUAUAUGAUUUCUCCCCAUUAGUUUAAAUUGGACCUUUUUCUUUGUAUAAGGUGAAUUGCACAAAUAAGGGAACUCUCUUUUCUUCUUCC